AGUCUAUCUAAUGAGAAAAUAUUUUAAACGCUUUACACGCUUCCUUUGCAAAUUUUUGCUAAGCACUUGACAUUGAACGUGACAUUGUUGUUGUUGUGGUUGUUGUCGAUGUUGUUGUUGCUGCUGGCGCCCAGCUGCAGCGAUUACGCGAUUUAUAUAGUUUUAUGUGGCUACAAAGCAGCAUUCCAUUAGCCAGCAGACUCAAAGCUCAACGAUUGCUGAACAAAAGCAGGACCACAAGGCGGUCAAAGAGGGAGAGAGAAAGAGAGAGAGAGAGAGAGAGGGACUGACUUUACAAGAAAGUAAUUUUGUUAUUUCGCUAUUGCCAAACACAAAAUUAGCUUAACAAUCUUAAAAAGCUCUUGGCAAAUUGGACAAGACUUUGGCCAAAUGCCACUCAAUCACUGGCCCCAUUGAGAGCUCAAGUUCCGGGCUAAUCAGGCAGCUGCCCAUAAAUAAAUCAAAGCCAGCGCCGAGCAGGAAACUCCCCACUUAUAUCGGGUAUCGAGGCGGCUGCUGC